rnacentral:rRNA from 1 species
GCUGGCGGCAGGCCUAACACAUGCAAGUCGAGCGGUAGAGAGAAGCUUGCUUCUCUUGAGAGCGGCGGACGGGUGAGUAAUGCCUAGGAAUCUGCCUGGUAGUGGGGGAUAACGUUCGGAAACGGACGCUAAUACCGCAUACGUCCUACGGGAGAAAGCAGGGGACCUUCGGGCCUUGCGCUAUCAGACGAGCCUAGGUCGGAUUAGCUAGUUGGUGAGGUAAUGGCUCACCAAGGCGACGAUCCGUAACUGGUCUGAGAGGAUGAUCAGUCACACUGGAACUGAGACACGGUCCAGACUCCUACGGGAGGCAGCAGUGGGGAAUAUUGGACAAUGGGCGAAAGCCUGAUCCAGCCAUGCCGCGUGUGUGAAGAAGGUCUUCGGAUUGUAAAGCACUUUAAGUUGGGAGGAAGGGUUGUAGAUUAAUACUCUGCAAUUUUGACGUUACCGACAGAAUAAGCACCGGCUAACUCUGUGCCAGCAGCCGCGGUAAUACAGAGGGUGCAAGCGUUAAUCGGAAUUACUGGGCGUAAAGCGCGCGUAGGUGGUUUGUUAAGUUGGAUGUGAAAUCCCCGGGCUCAACCUGGGAACUGCAUUCAAAACUGACUGACUAGAGUAUGGUAGAGGGUGGUGGAAUUUCCUGUGUAGCGGUGAAAUGCGUAGAUAUAGGAAGGAACACCAGUGGCGAAGGCGACCACCUGGACUAAUACUGACACUGAGGUGCGAAAGCGUG